CGAGCUUCUGGUGCGACACAGCAGUAAAUGCUGGCCUAUUGGUUAAUUUACCGAUACGAUCGGAUCGUGUGACUGCUACAGCGCGGCUGUUUCUCUUUUUUUUACUCCAGCCAUGGUGGAGAGACGUGUGAGUUGCGUCCACCGUGCAGUACAGUGCCUCCAGUCUUGGGGGUUUGAUUGCUGCCGCACCCUCUCAGGGAUCAACUGCCUGAUUUUAAGCGAAGAGUCGAGAUGCCUGCCUGGCUGCUGUCUUGUCUUGCCUUGUUUUAUCUUGUGUUCCGAUCUGUUGGCUGUCCAGUUUUGUUCCUGCUGUUUGCCCCGCCUCGCCCCUGGGGGCUUUGGGUCUCACGCUAAGCCCCUUUUGGACUAUCAUUUCACUCCAGCUUUCGCGACUGGUCGGGGCGAUCCUCAGCUGCAUAUUGGGCUGGUGUUACAAAACUGGUACUGCCUCUCCCUUUUCUCCCAGUUGUGGAGAGCUGCGCGGGACUGAGUGGGGCUACGGACAAUCGGAACCAGCACCAGCUGUGGGCUGGCUCGCAGAGUACAAGUACUUCCAAUCUGUGCUCUGUGGUGUGUAUGUGGGUGUGUUUUAUUGCAGAUCUCCGUUUUUCUUUUAAUUUCUUUUUUUAGUAUAUAGAGAGCCUGUUUAUGUCCCAUAUUUUUACCCUUUUAAUGUGUAUGUCUUGUGCUUUUAUUUCAGCGAACUGAGGAUCUACCAGCUGCCGUGGGACCUUAGGGGGCAGGUCGUUUUCCACACUUUUUUUUGUUGUACAGCACCAGGUGAAUAGACUAUAGUGGGGGGGGUUGUGUGGUUUUCUUUUGGUCCACCGCUGCUGGUAAGUCCCAGUUGUGUGUUUAUUUUUAUUGUAAUUUGGGACACCGUUUUAGACAUUCAGUGCGCUGUCAGUGUUUUGUUUUUUAUUUUACAUUAAUAAAUAAAAUUGUGUUAAUAUUUGAGUCGGCCUCAGUGUGCAUCCCUGAACCUAACGUUGUUUUAAUUUCAUUUCUAAAGUUCAUAUUUCCUGGGGGCUAGAAUUCCCCCCCCCCCAGGUGGCGUUGUCAUUUUAUUAUUUCUUUUAUAACCCCGCCGACCACUUGGUCACACAAUCAUACCCAUUCACACAAGCACUUUAUCUAACACUACGUUCACACUGCAGGUCUUAAUGCUCAAUUCCGAUUUUUUUUUUUUUUUUUUUUUUUUUGUCUGGUUGUUCACACUACAAAUAAAAUGUGACAGCAAACCCGCUCUAGUGUGAACUGUUCACAAUAGUGUCAUGUGACACUAUUGAUCAUGUGACACGACACAUGAUCAAUAGUGGGUCAGCGACCCUUUUUCUUUCCGUCUCAGGUUUAAAUAUCUGGGACUCUCCACCGUUUGGUUUUAGAACUGAAGAAGCUUCACGGAUGAAACGUCUUCAAGAAACUUAAAGAAGUCUCUUUUCUUUCCAAGCUCCUUAGAUCACCAUGACCUGGAUGACUGAGAACCUACAGACAUAUUGACCUUGUUUCUAGGUUGCAUGACAGACUGACUUAAGUCCACAAGAAGAUGAUGAUGGAGGAAGAGGAGGACAGAGCAGAGUCUGCAGGAUCUAGCCAUCCCUCUGUGACCAGUGACCAGUCCAAAGGUCAAAAUCAAGCCUUCAGAGCUGAACCUGGACCAACGAGAGGUCACAGUCUGAAGGAUCCAGUCAUCCGUCUGUGAGGAGUGACCAGUCCAAAGGUCACACUCCAGACUUCAGUAAUGAAUCUGGACCAACGAGUCGCUCCUAAAUAUACGAGCCACUGUUCAGGAGCAUCCCGACUGGCCCUAGGAUGUCAGGAAUUUCGUAUCCCACCCAUGCUAGAGAUCGUACCAUUGUUCCUCUGAUGCGGCCCACCUUGCCUUCCAUCCAGGAAGAAAAUGCCACAGAAGACGAAGGAAACAGGGCAGUGUGUUGGUAAAAUGUAAUAACUGCAUGGCUGCAUCACUCAUGACUAAUCCCUGCGUUCUUCUGAACAAACUUGCCCCGGACCUCGGGUUGUUCAUUUCCUGGCAAUUCCUGGAAUCUGGAUCGUACCUGUGGCUCCACAUCUCAGUGUCCAGCUUUCAUGGCAACUGUUUCAACUGUCAGCAGCUAACAGCUGAUGUUUACAUCAGCUUUGAACUGCAGUUGAUUGCAGUCCAGCUGUCCACUCCAGUGCUGUGUACCGACCACCGGAAUACAACAAGAAUUUUAUCCAAGACUUCUCUGAAUUCUUAGCAGGAAUUAUUCCAAGAUAUGACAGUCUUAAUUCCAGGGGAUUUAAUAUCCAUGUUUGCUCCUUAAACACACCGCUGACUAAUGACUUUUUAAAUCUUAUAGACUUUUUAAAAAUCUUGUUCAGUCAGUUAAAGGCCCAACUCAGGAACGUGGACACACUUUGGAUCUUGUGCUGUCUAGUGGCCUGACUCUCUGUGACACUCUCUGUGACACUCUGUGCGAUGUUAAACAUGCUGUGGUGGAGCCUAUUCCUAAAAAAUAAAACCUGGAUCCAACUGUUUAGGCUUCCACUUAAAUGUAAAUCUGUGAGCAUGUAAGACACAGAUAUCUUAAGUUUCUUAAUUUAAAUGAACAGAAAACAGAGGUCAUUGUGUUUGGUCCCUGUGACCGCUACGAUCUUGGCCCUUUAGAGAUUUAUAAAAAACCUUUUGUGAGGACCUUCAUAGUGAUUUUUCACAGUAAUCUAACUUUUGAUUAACAGUUAAACAGUUUGCUGUAAACAAAGCGAGAUUUUUUUCUUCUCUGGCUACAUGCAAAAGUGAAGCCAUCCCUCUUGUUACAGGCAUUGCCCUUUAAGAAUGUAGCCUCAUGGGUAGUGUAGUCCGUGCUGCAGGCAGAAUGUGUGGGACUGCCCCUCCCAAUGUGUGUGUGAGAGCGAGGGAGGGAGAAAGUACGAGUUGCUACUGACGAGAAAUGGAAGAUGAAAG
ensembl:lncRNA